CAAGCAUAGAAAGAGCUAGGAAGGCGCGAGGCUCUCGCUCCUCGUGGGCUCCGGGCGAGCGAGCGGAGCUGGGGUGGAUGCGUGCAGUUGUUACACCUCCAGCACAAAGUGAGGACAGUGACACUCAGGAGGGCUAAGCAACCCGACCAAGUUACACAGCGGCAGAGCCAAGAUCUGAACUCAGGUCUGUCUGAAUCCCACGAUGAAAAUCUUAAUGCCUCUGUUGAAAUGUAAUAGUCAGAUGCCGCAUGUGCCCCAGGUGCCCUGAGCAUGGAUGGACAGGUAAGAGAGCUGACCAGUCACCAUACACUAUCUCCCUGGCUGUAGUGGUUGGGCAAGGGAUGACCCUGCGACACACAGAGCCAGCGACACUGGAUUGGGGGACUUCAGAUAGAAACACUGGGAGAGGGGUUCUCAUUCGGCUGGGAUUCCAAUCAGGGAGAAAUAUUGCUGGGAGCUGCCACUGUUCAUCUUUGCGGGUGAAGAGGGGAGCGUUACCCUGAGUGAAAACAUGAAAGCAAGCAAGGCUGAGAGAUGGAGGCAGGUUCUUGGUGACAUCCCCUGGAUGCUGAAUCUCUGCUUGUUUAAUGUCCGUCUGCCCUCCGGAGAGUUGAUGAUUCAAUGUGAUCCAGUAAGUCCUCUCCCUCUCUGGCGUCUCCCCCAACCUCCAUCCAUGUUCAAGGUUGAUUGGGUUGGGUUUCUGUCACUUAUAUCCAGAAGAGUUCUGGGGAGUGGAGCGUUUCCACAGGCAGUUGUGAGAAGCCAGGACCCUCUGCUGAGUAGAGGGAACAACUUGAUUUUGACCACGUGUGCGGGAACGUGCACCUAACGGCAUCUCUCACCCCAGACUUGCUUGUUCUGCCAAUACUGACGAAUGGUUUGGCCUCUGGAAAUUCCCGAGUGGUCUUUAAGUCACAUGGUCUGGAGGAGCUCCCAAGAGGCUGGACGAUGUAAACCCUGAAGCCUCACUAGGUCAUGCAAGAACCCUAAAGGAGCUGAUAGGAAGGCUGCACGUCAGACAUGUUAAGCCUAGGAUCGAGGGAACUGACCCAGGAUGAUCUAGUUGGUUAGCCAGGGUGAGGGGAGGACGCUGUGACAACUGUCCAUAGGAGGUAAUUAUCUCUUGUUGAAAAUUUCUCACAACUCAAAUACGGUCCUAAAUGCGUUCCAUACACUGCUAUGUUUAAUCUUCUCAGCAGUCCUGUGAGUAAUGGAGCUUUUACAGGUCAGGGAACUGGGGCUUAGUGAGGUGGAGUGACUUGGUCAAUCACAGGUAGGAUUUAAACUCGGUUUGUCUGCCUCUGAUUUGAUAGAGGACUUGGGUCCAUGACUAGGGAGUGUGAGAGAGGGGACAGUGUUCAGCCUCCCAAGGUAAUAAGGGAGCCGAGGCUAAACUUUUGGUCACAGAUUCAGCCUCACAGGGGCAGACCCUGACAGCACUGGGAGAGCGGAGUGAACAGGGAACAGGCCAGGGCUUGUGCAGCAGCACCGCACGGCGGGGUUGGGAGGGUGCCACAGUGGGUCUGCCUGUAUCUGGGGCUUGUGGCAGAGGAUAGACACAGGACUCCAAAGUUAAUUCAGGCCUAAUCCCAGAGUUGGAGCAGAGCUGGCUCAGGGAUGGGAAAGUAAGGAGAGAGAGAGAUGGAUAGAGGACUCCUGUGGAGCCUUGAGGCUAAAAAGAAAAAGAAAGAUUCCUUUAUUCAUUAAAACAACUAUUAUAAUAAACUAGUACAUGAUCCCCACUGGACUAGGGUCUUCCUCACACAUUGAUCUGAGGCCCAGAGAGGCCAAGUGAGCCAUCCAAGGUCACACAGGAGCUGAACUGUGGUUAAAAGCUAGGUCCACCGAAACGUGACGAUAUUCCCACAGGUGUCUCCUGGAGAAUUCAAGUAAUAAACUGAUCAUUAGCUCUGAAGGAGGAGUCUUAGGGGCAGUUCACAUGUGCAGAUAAUGACUGUGCCUUGUGGUGUGCUGACAACCUGGACGCUACCUUCAAAACAACCCUGUGGCAUUUAGCCAGGCGUCACCGUCACCAUUACCAUCAUUGUCGUCAUGGCUGCUAUCUGUUGUACUAACUUUUAGUGAAUACAGUGUCUGCAUGUGAACCCAGGCAUCUCCAACUUUCAGACAUGCCUGAGUUGUUAAGCAAGACACCUCUACCUCCGACUGCGCCUCAGUUGGCUAUUGUCAGAACAAAAUGAAGUAGUACAGGCAGAGGGCUCAGAGGGGUGCUUGGCACGCAAAGCUCAGUCAGCGUUGGCUUUCAUCAUGGCCAUUUCCAUCUUUGCAUCACCGUCUCUCUUUUUUGUGGCUAACCCACCAUGCUCGAGUGUGCUAGGAAAUGCAAGGGCGCUUGCAACGUGCAGAGCCUCUAGGGGUAAUCCUGAGGCAAGAGAUAAAAGCGGCUCACUUGACAUAACUUCAUAAACCCAUUUUAAUCCCGACGUUGAUUUUCUGUUAGAAUGAUCCCUUUCGUGUUUGCAUACACAGUUCCUGCAUGCCUCUAAUACAGACGUAUCAAUACCAUGAUUGAGAUAAAACAGUUACCUCCUCUGUAUUCUCUUUAUGCAUCAGUCACCCUGGCCUCUUUUUUUUGUCUUUUUUCAUCCUCUGCUACACAGUAGCAUUCACGGGAGUGCCUCCUUAUUCCCUCACCAGCCAUAACUCAAGGUGGAGGUUUCAAAUAAUGACAAGUAGUAAAAUAGGAGAGAUUUAAGCAAAUUCAACUGGAAAUAAUACAGAGAAAUAUUACUCACCCUGGACACGUGCCUCUCUUUUGAUCUCCCUUGUCCAGGAUGCACUUUUUUUUUUUUUUUUAAAGAAAUGCUCCUUUCAUAGAAAGAAGCAAGCAGACACUAAAAGGAAACCUCAUGUCUUUGUUGAGAAAUAAUUAGUCUGAUGGACAAAGGAGCGUAGAAAGAAAUUCGUUUGUUUCCUAAGCCCCUUUAGGCAGCACGUCUUUCUUAGGUUUGGGCUUGUAGAUGAGAGUUUGGGAAAUGGAAAAUUUUCUUGAAUAAGAAUUCAGGAAGUUUGACCUAUGCAGUUACCUCUCUCUUAACUUGACAACAAUUGGCAAUUACUUUUUGAUCCGAAGCGUGAGGAUGAAUAUGGAAAGGGAGUGUGAAUCAUUCUCCUUCGGAAACGCUUUCCUCUCUCCUGUGCUGCACCUGAAGCGGAUUUGCCUUUUUUUUUUUUUCCAGUCCCAAAGAUUCAAUAUAAUGUAGACUUGGAAAUACCUGUGUUUGCUGCAGCUGGGGGCGAAAACAGUUGGCAAAUCGAUGAAUCAGUUUCUUUUCUUUUCCUCUUAUGGAAGCUUCCAAGACCUUGACAGUGCUUUGCAAUGGGGUGCAUUGGCUCCUAGUGUCGGCACAUGGCACCCACAUGUGGCUUAAGACUCUCAGACCCCAGUGGCUCUGGUGAAGAUGGAGCACUACGCUGCAAGCAGGAUCAUGGUUGUCUAUAGGUGACUGGGAAAGCGUGGGGCUCUGAAGUCCGUCUCACCAGGAUUAAGAUCCUGCCUCCUCUGGGAUCUGGAGCUGAUGGCUGGAUUCCUGCCACAUUGAGCAUCCUCACUGUAGAAUGGGAAUGAGUAGCUCCCUUGCAGAGCAGUGUGUCCUCAGCCUUGGAGCUGUUGACAUGUUGAGCCUGGCCAUUCUUCGCUGCAGGGGGCUGUUCUGUGCAUUGUAGGGUGCUUAGCAUUACUCUUGGCCUCUGAUCACAUUGUGAUGACCAAAAUAAUCCCCAGACAUUGCCAAAUAUCUCAUGGAAAGUACAACCUCUCUCUUCUUUAUUGAUAGCUACCAGCAUGGAGUGACUGUGAAGCAAUCCUGAUAAAGCUCUCAGACACUGCCUUGCAGACAACACAUAGCAGAUGCUCAGUCAGCACCAGUUGUUACUGUGCUAAUAAACAGAAACCCAAUAUCAUGAUUUUCCUCUUGAGGAAUCUUACAGGCUCUCUGGAUCUCUGAGGUCCCAGAUUCCAACUGUGCUGACAAGAUAUUCUGCUUUCUAGCAAAACCACCAGUCUCUAGGAACAAGCAAAUCGAUAUUCAGGUGGUUCUAUGAAUGAGUGGCCUCCUCUCACCUUGGUCUGAGAGCUGUAGGCAGGAAUUUUAGAAAAGGGUCAUGAGAGAAGACAGAUGGCACAUCACUGACAUUUUAGGUUAUCACAAGUCAAAGUAUCCCCAUGCCUUGGCAUCCACUAGAAGUUACUGCACCUGGUCUUCAUGGAUUGGAGCUCUUGGUGCAUCUUGGAGGGGAACAGGAAUAAUGAUCUGCGUUGCGGGAGGAACCUACCCGACUGGCUUUGUUCUUCUAUAUCUUAGUUCUAGCUAUUUCUACCAAUUGAUGGACUGCUCAAGAUGGUUCUGUUGUUUGAUCACUGUCAUGGACUACAUUGCAACUCACCAAAAUUCACAUGUUGAAGCCCUAACCCGCAGUGUGACUGUGUUUGGGGAUGGAGCCCUUGGGUUAUAGGGGUGGUGCCUUAUAAUCUGACCGAGCUGAUGUCCUUAUAAGAAGAGAAAGAGAAAGCAGAACUCCCCCCACCCCCUGCACCCAGGAAAGGCCUGUUGAGGAUAGAGCAAGAAGACAGCCAUGGAGGCCAGGAAGAGAGGUCUCACCAGAAAUCAAAAUUUCUCACAUCUUGGUCUUGGACUUGUAGCCUCCAAAAACGGGAGAAAAUAAACCAUCCACUGUUGAAGCUGCCCAGUCUGUUGUAGUGGUUUGAGCUGACUUGCACAAGUGCUGACCCAGGUGUGUGGCAUACUCCUUUUGUGCUCACAACAGCCUUUUGAGAUAUGUUCUGUCCUGCGCUCCCCAACAUGCUAUAGAAGAGAAAUAGAGUAUUUCCACACUUGUCCAGUGCCACACAACUACAAAAUGGAGCCCAGGCCUGUCAGUUUCCGAAGCCCAGGUCCUUAACUGCUAAGCCAUCUUAAUAUGGGUUGUGUCAACCCCCACAGUGCCAUUUAUAGAAUGUUGACAUAGUGCAAGCCUCUAUGUCCGGGAUUUCAAUGCAUCAGUUAUUUAAUCAUGCCGCACUCCUACACAAAGGUCACAAUGGUCCCCAUUUUUGCAGAUGAGGAAACUGAGGGAGGCUCUGUUAACUCGAAAGGCUGCAGCUUAACUGGCUCUGCAGGAAUCUCUAACUAGCUCAGUCUCUGCUUUGGAAUCGCAGGGCGGGUAAUGCCUGCUGGGAUAUAAUGAGCUGAUAUUUGCUCUUUAGAGGCCACAGAUUGUUGUUGAAUUUUUGCAGUCUCUACAGUUUUAAUCCCACUAAGGAUUCUAGCGGCGAGUGGGAGUGAAGGUCUCAGAAGGAGUUGAGUGCACUCAACUGCAGGUCAGUCCAGCUGGCUUCUCAGGGUUCUGCAUUUAUGCAAAUUGGAGGGAGAGGUCUCAGCCCGAGGAAGGGGGAGUGCACACCUCUCUCCACACUGGCAGUCCUCUCCGAGGUAGUCUCUCCAGCUCAGGGCUUAGCAACAAAUUGCAUCUCCCUCCUUUAUUUCUUCCCAAGGACAAAGAAUAAUAAUUCAAAGCAGAGAAAAGAACUUACACUCAUACACUGCGAAUUUCCAAAAUGUUUUGAGUUCACCUUAAAAUCACCAGGGGGAAACAGGUGUUUUCUGACAGAUGAAGUCAAGACACAGAAGUCAGGGCUGUUGAUCUCACACGCACUGUGUCCUCCCCACGUGGUACCAUUUGGGUGCUGCUUAUGCUGUAGCUACUUAGUAUCCUGUCAUGGUUAAGGGCAGCAGCUUUGGAGACAGGCAGACCUAGGUGUGAAUCCUACCGGUGACACCAGCCAUCUUGGACACACUGCCUGGUUUAAAUAAAGAUGGGGAUAAUAACGGUCUUCUGGGGUCAGCUACAUUAAACUGAAGGCUAUCUAUGGAAAGCAUGUGGUAGGUGCCCAGUGGUUGUUUUCACUGUCCUUAAUGGAUGAGAACAUUCUAGAAUGUGGCCUAAGCACCACCUAUCAUGACCUGUGAACAUCUCCAGGUAAAAGCAUCCUCUGAGGGACCUUGGAGGUCACUCCUAUUUUGACUGGGAGCUCCCUUGGGUGGGGAAGAUGGCAUAGUCUGGACUCAGGUGGUAUUUAACAAGUGACCAUCCAGCUUUGGGCCAAGAAG